rnacentral:snRNA from 1 species
GUACUCGCUUCAGGAGCACAUACACUAAAAUUGGAACGAUAUAGAGAAGAUUAGCAUGGCCCCU